GAUAUCUCGGUAUGUGAAGAAUUAAAAAUAAGUAACCUUGUCAUUUAGCUCCUUAAUCACCAUAUUCAACCAUCAUCUUUCUUAAAAAAAAACUCAUACAUAAACCACCAUAUAUCUCCAAAACUCACUCUUGUUUUUCUCUAAGAAUACACUCAAAUAAUCUUCCUCUCUACUACUACCAAGUAAAACUCAUGUUCACAUUUUAUGUCAAACCAUCUUAGUUUUCAUGUGAAACAACAAUCUUCUUCUUCAUGUGAAGCACACCAUAACACACCUCUCAUCUCCUUAUAACAACCUCACAACACCACCAUUUCCUCACUUUUCUCCCACAUAAAUAAAACAACCACCACCUCACGGAAACUACAACUACUUUUCUCUCUUUCAGGAAAAC
rnacentral:lncRNA from 1 species